rnacentral:rRNA from 1 species
AUUGAACGCUGGCGGCAUGCCUUACACAUGCAAGUCGAACGGUAACGCGGGGCAACCUGGCGACGAGUGGCGAACGGGUGAGUAACGCAUCGGAACGUGCCCAGUAGUGGGGGAUAGCCCGGCGAAAGCCGGAUUAAUACCGCAAACGACCUACGGGUGAAAGAGGGGGAUCGCAAGACCUCUCGCUAUUGGAGCGGCCGAUGUCAGAUUAGGUAGUUGGUGGGGUAAAGGCCUACCAAGCCUACGAUCUGUAGCUGGUCUGAGAGGACGACCAGCCACACUGGGACUGAGACACGGCCCAGACUCCUACGGGAGGCAGUAGUGGGGAAUUUUGGACAAUGGGCGCAAGCCUGAUCCAGCCAUGCCGCGUGCGGGAAGAAGGCCUUCGGGUUGUAAACCGCUUUUGUCAGGGAAGAAACGCUCUGGACUAAUACUCUGGGGUAAUGACGGUACCUGAAGAAUAAGCACCGGCUAACUACGUGCCAGCAGCAGCCGCCG